rnacentral:ribozyme from 1 species
UCGCACAUGUACCAUGUACAUGAUGUAUCAAGACCCCUUCUCUCAGUCGCGUGAAUUGUAUGUCUGUAAAUGAAGACUGCAUUAAUUGUGUGCGCGAGGAACCAAUCACCAGAGACAACCCACUCAAAAAGAUAUACAGGAACACGUGUUUUGUCUGU